rnacentral:rRNA from 1 species
GGACGCUAAUACCGCAUACGUCCUACGGGAGAAAGCAGGGGACCUUCGGGCCUUGCGCUAUCAGAUGAGCCUAGGUCGGAUUAGCUAGUUGGUGGGGUAAUGGCUCACCAAGGCGACGAUCCGUAACUGGUCUGAGAGGAUGAUCAGUCACACUGGAACUGAGACACGGUCCAGACUCCUACGGGAGGCAGCAGUGGGGAAUAUUGGACAAUGGGCGAAAGCCUGAUCCAGCCAUGCCGCGUGUGUGAAGAAGGUCUUCGGAUUGUAAAGCACUUUAAGUUGGGAGGAAGGGCAGUUACCUAAUACGUAAUUGUUUUGACGUUACCGACAGAAUAAGCACCGGCUAACUCUGUGCCAGCAGCCGCGGUAAUACAGAGGGUGCAAGCGUUAAUCGGAAUUACUGGGCGUAAAGCGCGCGUAGGUGGUUUGUUAAGUUGGAUGUGAAAUCCCCGGGCUCAACCUGGGAACUGCAUUCAAAACUGACUGACUAGAGUAUGGUAGAGGGUGGUGGAAUUUCCUGUGUAGCGGUGAAAUGCGUAGAUAUAGGAAGGAACACCAGUGGCGAAGGCGACCACCUGGACUAAUACUGACACUGAGGUGCGAAAGCGUGGGGAGCAAACAGGAUUAGAUACCC